UCAAAGAUUAAGCCAUGCAUGUCUAAGUAUAAGCAAUUAUACAGCGAAAUUGCGAAUGGCUCAUUAUAUAAGUUAUCGUUUAUUUGAUAGUACCUUACUACUUGGAUAACCGUGGUAAUUCUAGAGCUAAUACAUGCUAAAAAUCCCGACUUCGGAAGGGAUGUAUUUAUUAGAUUAAAAACCAAUGCCCUCUGGGCUCUUUGGUGAUUCAUGAUAACUUCUCGAAUCGCACGGCCUUGCGCCGGCGACGGUUCAUUCAAAUUUCUGCCCUAUCAACUUUCGAUGGUAAGGUAUUGGCUUACCAUGGUUUCAACGGGUAACGGGGAAUUAGGGUUCUAUUCCGGAGAGGGAGCCUGAGAAACGGCUACCACAUCCAAGGAAGGCAGCAGGCGCGNAAAUUACCCAAUCCNNNUUCGGGGAGGUAGUGACAAUAAAUACUGAUACAGGGCUCUUUCGGGUCUUGUAAUUGGAAUGAGUACAAUCUAAAUCCCUUAACGAGGAACAAUUGGAGGGCAAGUCUGGUG
rnacentral:rRNA from 1 species